UUCUCUUCGGAGAGAUCCGAUAAAUUAGAAUGUUACAGAAAAAUUAACAUGAUCCCUGCGCAAGGUUGACGUGCACAAAUCAAGAAAUGCUCCCAAUAUAU
rfam:Punica granatum cultivar Dabenzi scaffold266, whole genome shotgun sequence.